rnacentral:misc_RNA from 1 species
UAAGGAUCUUUCCAUACGGUUCAAAAUGCCUCUCUAUGUCACGCACCCUAGUGCGAAUAGGGUCAAAAUUAAUGACAAACAAAGAUCUUGUUGGUCUUUGGUUUGCUGAAACCUUGGAAUCAUCACGAGGUUGAACACGGUCACCCUUUGCCCAUUCUACUGAUAACCGGCGCUUGUCAUACCCAAAUGGCAUGUUAUCAAGACAACGGAUGGCAUCAGCUGCAUCACGCUCAUCCUCAAAGUAGACAAACGCAAAGCCUGUAGUUGUUA